rnacentral:rRNA from 1 species
AGAGAGAGACAUGCGCGCAUAUCAAUAAGCGGAGGAAAAGAAACUAACAAGGAUUCCCCUAGUAACGGCGAGUGAAGCGGGAAGAGCUCAAAUUUGAAAUCUUAAAGGGUUUCCCUUUACGAAUUGUAGUUUAAAGAAGUGUUUUCUGUUGAGGUUUUGGUAAAAGUUCUUUGGAAUAGGACAUCAUAGAGGGUGAGAAUCCCGUAUUCGACCUUUACUUUCAACUUUGUGAUACACUUUCAAAGAGUCGGAUUGUUUGGGAAUGCAGUCCAAAAUGGGUGGUAAAUUUCAUCUAAAGCUAAAUAUUGGCGAGAGACCGAUAGCGAACAAGUACCGUGAGGGAAAGAUGAAAAGAACUUUGAAAAGAGAGUUAAACAGUACGUGAAAUUGUCAAAAGGGAAGCGUUUGACACCAGUGUUGUUUUUCUGAAAAUCAAUUAAAGAACUGUUUAUGCUAAGCUGUUUAGACUUUAUCAGCUAACUGUUUAGUUUUGAGCUUUUCUUUAAUGCACUUUUCAGUUAACAAGUCAACAUCAACUUCUUUUGCUGUAAGAAAGCUUGAGGAAGGUGGCUUGAGAUUCGUCUUAAGUGUUUAUAGCCUCUUGCCUAUGCAGUCGGAGAGAUUGAGGUCUGCAGCGUAGAUCCUUCGGGGCUAAAUGCAUUUGUGCUAAGUUAUAGCAUUUUAUAGACAACUUGUUGACUAUGAUUUGUCUUGUAGCUUACUCGCUUAUGUUAUUUUACCUACGCUUAGGAUGUUGAGCGCAUGUCUCUCUCU